AUGGCACAGGAGAGCUGGUGAGCUGACCAACUUAGCUUCCAUCCAGACCAACUGGAGUGUCUCCUUCCUGAGCAUUCAGCCUACAAUCCCAAGGGACUGAGUUGGCUCCAGUGCAGUAUACAUGGAAGUGGUACUUGCUCUUUGGGGCUUGGCCUCAGAACUAUCCUGGCUCAGGCAAUGUGGGCAGGAGAGAAAAGGCCAGAGGGAUGGUUCUCAGGAGAACACAGUAUGAAGUUGCUUACCUGCAGUCAACAAAAUGUCCUCAGACAUCCACUUCGGGGUGUAUUCCACUGCUACUGUGUAUGCAUUCAGCGAGGCAUCUUAUCUAUGUGACCAUUCAGAUACUAUACACAGGUUCAUACCAAGAAUAUGCUAAAGCAACUGACUAUAUAUACUGUGUCAACUACAUAGCUCUUGAAAGUGUAUGAUUUAGUAACUUCCUAAUCACGAUAUCUUAUAAAGAAAGAGCAGUGUGAUUUUAAAUUUACUGUUUUAAUUAAUUGUCCAGUGUUUAAAAAAAUGAACUGAAGCCUGACUGAUUGUAUAAUUUUAAUAUUUGAAAAUGUACACAAAUAAACUCAACACAAUACAGAUUUAUACAAAAGAAGGACUUCUAAAAACUUAUACAGAAAAAAUAAAUAAUAGGUUUUUAAAAAAAGGACAAGACAUUUUAUAAAUACUAAUAAAUACUGUGCAAUGCUUUAAUUUACUAUGGCAGAUAGAAAAACUCAAGAAAUCAUUAAUAGGUUGUAUAUUUAAAAAGCUACAUGAAUUUUCUAGCUGAUUAAAAUAAAAUGUAACAGUAGUAGUUUUUACUUUUAAAAUGAGGUAUUAUUACAUUGUAAACCAAAACAGAGCAUAAAUAUAUGGUUUAGCAAUUAAUGGUUAUCAACUUCAACUUAAUAAAAGACAACAAAAAUUCCCAUUAUUUAUGGACUUUUGUCACCUAAAAUUUGGCUUGCCUGUGUACUUGCAAAAGUGACAUAGCUACCAAUACACACACAUCGUUAGACAUGCAGACCAAACCAAUACUAUUUCCAUGAGUCAUCCCUAACAAAUAAAAACUUUGUUUACAUUUUACUGAAAACACUUAAAUCUGGUUUCCUAUACAUAAUUCUUUGUGCUUGUUAGUAGGAACCUACAUUAAACAUUUCUACGCAGUGCAAGAGAGAAGCAGUUUUAUUUGCAUAUGGAUUAAAGACAAUAUACACACCAAACCAACUGUACCUUUAGCUGUCUUAGGCUUCCCACGAUUUAAAGAACAACUACCCUUCUGGUAAACUCACAUGGGAAAGUAGUCAUUUGCAGUCUCAAGCGUUACAGGAAGGAAGCUGGGUUUUCUAACACGGGUGGGUGGGCUUCGGAACUAUAGGACGCUGAUGAGUUACUGCACCCUUGAAUUCUGCUGGUUGGGUGCAGAAAGCACAGCGACAAGGAAAUGCCUAGCUCAGGGGAGCCUCGGGCCAAGUAUGAUUUGCACAUGGGCCAUAUGCUGGUACUAAAUGCUGGUUUCAUUCUUAUUGCAAAUGUCACUUCAGAGUUUUCUGAAGAAAAACUAUCAAAGAAUAAUUCUUGAGAUGAAAAUAUUUGUGACAUGCUAAUAAAACUGCUUCACUAUAAAUUAAAACAAAACAAAACAAAACAAAACAAAAAUCCCUGGGGCUUAAAAAUACAGUUUUUACAUGCUAUUUUAUUAUAAAUAGAAAACAAGGAUACUUUUGGAUUUACUAUAUUUAGAAUCCAGUGAAAAACACACAUUUUAGCCAAAAUGUCAAACUUCUUUUUUAUAUCAAGCUACAUCAUUUUGACAUAAAUGUUUUUAAUUGUAUUUCACUUUUGUCAAAUAUCCUACAUUUUCCAAAAAUUAGUGUUUUCAUAUAACUGGUGAUCAAAAAUUGUAGAUAUAAGCAGUACAUCAAAAUAUAUAAAAUAGCAGGGCUUCUUUUGUGCUUGUAAUUAUUUUAAGUAAUCAAUGACUAGUUUGGUCUAGUUUGCUCUACUAUAUUGAUUUUUAAGAAGAAAUAACCAUUAUACAAACAUUACAGAAUACUCAAGUAACCAAUUUACUGUCAGUGGGCAUGCAGACUAACAAUACUUAAAAGAAUAUAACCUUGAAUCCAAUUGGUCUGAAAAUACUCUUGUACAAUCAUCUUUGUUGAUUUGUAAAAGCUGUACACACAUCUAAAACCCUAAAUUUACUUUGUAAAAAUAAAUCUUUAGCAAUAAAUGGC
ensembl:processed_transcript 1500017E21Rik RIKEN cDNA 1500017E21 gene